rnacentral:lncRNA from 10 species
AGUGCUCCUGACUGGAGAGCCCAGGCUGAGAUGGUGUUAAAUGCUUUUACCACGUGGGCUCCUGGCACCAAAUGAGCAAGAUCUCACCCCACAGGCCUUGGAAACCUGAGGCAGUAUUCUUCUGGGAUGUUUCCAACUAGGCUUCCCAUGAGGAUGUUAGAGCCAGCCUGGCUGGUGAAUUUUACUUCUCUCACCUCUCAGAGCUCUUUUUAACUGAGUGAGAAUUGGAGAAUGUGGUCAGAGGAACAGGGUCCACUGGAAAGAAACUUCAAGCUUGUGUAUUA